GGGUGAACUGUGUUUUUAAUUUUUUAAAUUUGCUCUGUCCUCAUUUCCCCUUUCUCUCAACGAAAACCCUACACAAUUCAAUACCUCUAUCUCUUCCAACGAAAACCAUACACAGUUCAACACCUUCUGCUUGCAAACUAACCAGUGACCAGGAAGUGCCCUGCGCAGUGUAUCGACGUGGCGUUGAGCGUAGCAGCGGUGGUGUUGCUUGGUGCUUGUAAUCCCAAGACUGGGGCUAGGAUCAUUGCUUUGGUUGGUGGUCCCUGCACAGAAGGACCUGAUUNGGUGACUUUUGAUGAUGAUAAAUCAAAAGUAGUGGAUUUCAAUAUUAUCCACCAUCUAAUCNUGAUUUUCAAGCUAUUGAAGAAGAAAAGCCUCCANUGUUAUUGAAGAGCCACGUUGAUGCACUAAUAUUUCUAGAAUGGAUCAUUUACCUCUUUGUAUGGAUUCAUCCUCAACUGAGAAUAGUAAAGGUCGAUCAGAUGUGUGGGGACAUUUUACUAAAGAAGAACCUUAUUCUGAGAAGAAGGCUAAAUGCAAUUAUUGUGGUAAUUUGAUUAAAUAUUUGGGUGGAACAAGCGGGAUGAGGAAUCAUNUGAUGAGAUGCAA